AUGGGCGACACGAUGACGAGUCUCCAGUCCUUUCUUGUGUCUGAUAACCAGUUUCAUGGCGUGAUCCCGCCGUCCUUGUGCAAUGCUUCCAUGCUACAGAUGGUUCAGACAGUAAACAACUUCCUGUCGGGAACGAUCCCUCGGUGCCUGGGGGCUCGCCAGGAGAUGCUCUCUGUGGUGAACUUUGCGGGGAAUCAGCUUGAAGCAACCAACGAUGCUGAAUGGGGCUUCCUUACUAGUCUGACCAACUGCAGCAAUAUGAUAUUAGUGGAUGUUAGUGAAAACAAGCUCCAAGGUGUGCUACCGAAAUCAAUCGGCAAUUUGUCGACACAGAUGGAGUUUCUUGGCAUUGCAUCCAACAGCAUAGCAGGGACGAUAACUGAAGCAAUAGGGAACUUCAUCAACUUGGAUGAACUUGACAUGGAAAAUAAUCUUCUCCAGGGCACCAUCCCAGCAUCUCUCGGCAAGCUUAAGAAGUUGAAUCGGUUAUCUCUGUCAAAUAACAACUUGUCAGGAUCUAUCCCAGUGGCUCUUGGAAAUCUUACAAAGCUUACAACCCUUCUGCUUAAUACUAAUGCGCUCAGUGGAGCCAUCCCUUCUGCUCUCAGCAACUGUCCUUUAGAGGAGCUGGAUCUUUCUUACAACAAUCUUUCCGGCCCAACACCUAAGGAACUCUUCCUCAUCUCAAGCUUGUCGAGUUCCAUGUAUCUUGCACAUAAUUCACUGACUGGGACUUUGCCUUCAGAAGUGGGAAAUCUCAGGAAUCUAGGUGAACUUGAUCUCUCUGACAAUAUGAUUUCAGGAAAGAUUCCUACCAAUAUUGGGGAGUGUCGAAGCUUACAGUACCUCAAUUUAUCUGGGAACCAUCUCGACGCGACGAUUCCGCUGUCACUAGGACAGUUACGGGGCCUCGUAGUGCUUGAUCUUUCUCGGAAUAAUUUAUCUGGGAGCAUUCCUGAGUUCCUCGGCACCAUGAAAGGCCUUGCUAGUUUAAAUCUCUCUUCCAAUGAUUUUGAAGGUGAAGUUCCGAAAGACGGAAUAUUCCUCAAUGCAGCUGCAACCUCGGUCAUGGGAAACAGUGCUCUGUGUGGUGGGAUCCCUCAACUCAAGUUGAAAAUGUGCUCCAGUCCCACUAAAAGGAGAAUAUCUUCAAAGCUUCUCAUGAUUAUCGCAGCAGGCGCCGGAAUUCUGUUGGUCAUACUAUCCGCAAUGUUCGUGUUAUGUAAAAGAAGCAAGCUUAUAAGAGCAAAGCCACAGAUAACUCUCCUCAAUGACAAAUACAUAAGAGUUUCUUAUGCUGAAUUGGUCAAGGCAACAGAUGGUUUCACAUCCGAAAACCUCAUUGGGGUGGGCAGCUUUGGUGCAGUGUACAAGGGAAGAAUGGAAAUCUCUGGCCAACAAGUGAUGGUGGCAGUGAAGGUACUCAACCUGCAACAUGCUGGCGCAUCCCGAAGUUUCGAUGCGGAAUGUGAGGCUUGGAGAUGUAUCCGCCAUCGGAACCUUGUGAAGGUUAUAACAGUGUGCUCAAGUAUUGACACUCGAGGUGGCGACUUCAAGGCUCUUGUGUUUGAGUUUCUGCCAAAUGGAAAUCUAGACCAGUGGCUACACAAGCAUCUCGAGGAAGAUAACGAACCCAAGAUGCUAGAUCUCAUUCAGAGACUCCAGAUUGCCAUGCACGUGGCUUCUGCGCUUGACUAUUUGCAUCAUCAGAAGCCGUUUCCAAUUGUUCACUGUGACCUCAAGCCAAGCAAUAUUCUCCUCGACAACAACAUGGUUGCCCAUGUCGGUGAUUUUGGGCUUGCAAGGUUCCUACAUGACGAACAUAAUGACAAGUCAGAGACACCAACUAGUAGUCGAACCGCAAUAAGAGGAACAAUUGGUUAUGUGGCUCCAGAAUAUGGACUUGGCAAUGAAGCUUCAAUCCAUGGUGAUGUGUACAGCUACGGUAUACUGCUGCUCGAGAUGUUCACCGGUAAAAGACCCACAAGUUCUGAAUUCGGAGAAGUGCUUAGCCUUCAUAAGCACGUACAAAUGGCACUGCCAGACCAAGCGGCUACUGUCAUCGACCAAGACCUAUUAAAAGCAGAAAGUAAUGGCAAAGGGACAGAAGGGGGGUAUCAGAGCAGUGAAGACAUGAGAAUUAGUUGCAUCGUCUCGAUUCUGCAGGUUGGAAUUUCAUGCUCCAAGGAGACGCCAACUGAACGCAUUCAAAUUGGAGAUGCAUUGAGAGAGUUGCAGAUAAUCAGAGAUAAGUUUUACGCGCAUUAG
rnacentral:rRNA from 1 species